UGUUGCUAACUAUAAGUAAUAAUGAAUGGAACAGGUGUUGGCUAUGGUCCCAUGGUUCCUUUGGAUAUAUAAAGAACCUGCAUUACCCUGUGUAACACACAACAAAAUGGACAACGUAACCAUUAAUGUGUUAGACAGCAAAGGCAAUGUUGUCAUGCUAACGGUUUCCAAGGACAUCGCUGAAAGGAUGCAAAAAAGUCACCAAUGAUUUGUGCAAGUGUUUUAUUUAUCAUUUAUUCCCCCAGAUCAAAUGUUCCUUUCCUCUGUCAUGGAGAAAGUAUCAGCUGUUGAAACAAAAGCUCUCCUCAGUGGCCCAGCUUGUGCUGCAAAGCUUCUCCAACCUCCUAUUCCAUGUCCCACUACCUCCACUAGGUCGCCGACACCCCUAAACCUCAGUUUUGUGAAACCACCAUCCACCAGCCAGUGCCCCAUUACUACCACUAGGCCCCCUGUACUACUUACCUCCACUGUCAAGGACCCACCACCUUCCACUCUGCAACCUGGUGCAGUGUGUGGAAACCCUUCAGCAUCCAUUCAACCUUCAUUCCCUUCCUUCCAGUCAGACAGGCAUGAAUCUCAAGAAAUAACACAUACAAUGACACUAUUUCUACUGGACCUUACAAAAACUCAUCAGCACCUUUAUUUUCGGAACAAAAUGGCAUUCUAUAAAAAAUACAAAACUUAUUCUCACUAAAGGGCUACAACUUGUCAAGUGAGAAAAUUCGAAAAAAAACUAGCAAACAUGUUAACUACUUAUAAGAGAGUGAAAGACAGGCGCCGUGCAACUGGGGAAGGGAAGAUCACCUGGGAGUACUAUACAGUAAGUUGAAGACUGCUUUACUUUGUUUCUGAAAUAACAUUGUCAUGUGUUACAAGACUGAAACAUUGGUCAUUUUCAUUUUACAUCCACCCCCACCAGCUAAUGGAUGAGUUAUUUGGGUCAUCGGGGAUCGGUACUGCACCACCUGGCACCAUUCACUCCACACCUCUGGGUUUGGAAGAGACCUCUUCCACAAGCAGGCCCACAACGUCUUCUCUUCAAGAACAGCCGGUAGGUGCUAGUAUGGAUGAACAGCCAGGAACUGCUACCAUACAAAAUGCAAACAUCACAAGAAGGCAAAGACGACCACAACCCUUACAAUUCCUGGACGCUUAUGAAGAGCAUGCAGAGAGAAGGACUGCUGUGCUUGAGUCCCUGGUAAGGCCAGAUCUGGAGUGAUGGCGGCGACUUAAGGAGAGGCGGAGAAGGUCCUUCGAAAAAAAGAUGGUGACCAGCUUGGGGAACAAUUGUGGAGGAG